rnacentral:rRNA from 1 species
CAGUCGCCGGGGAAAACGAAGGGUGCAAGCGUUACUCGGAAUUACUGGGCGUAAAGCGUGCGUAGGUGGUGGUUUAAGUCCGUUGUGAAAGCCCUGGGCUCAACCUGGGAAUUGCAGUGGAUACUGGGUCACUAGAGUGUGGUAGAGGAUAGUGGAAUUUCCGGUGUAGCAGUGAAAUGCGUAGAGAUCGGAAGGAACAUCUGUGGCGAAGGCGACUAUCUGGGCCAACACUGACACUGAGGCACGAAAGCGUGGGGAGCAAACAGGAUUAGAUACCCCCGUAGUCCCUGUCUCUUAUACA